rnacentral:rRNA from 1 species
GGCUAAAUAGACAGUGGCAAACGGGUGAGUAACGCGUGGGAAAUCUACCCCUCACACGGGGAUAAUCCGUCGAAAGGCGGACUAAUACCCGAUAGUCUUAUCACUUGAAAUAGUGAUAAGUAAAGCUUUUGCAGUGAGGGAGGAGCCCGCGUCCUAUCAGCUUGUUGGUGGGGUAAUGGCCCACCAAGGCUAUGACGGGUAGCUGGUCUUAGCGGAUGGUCAGCCACACUGGAACUGCGACACGGUCCAGACUCCUACGGGAGGCAGCAAUCAGGAAUUUUGCGCAAUGGGGGAAACCCUGACGCAGCGACGCCGCGUGGAGGAUGAAGGCCUUCGGGUUGUAAACUCCUGUGGUAGGGGAACAUGAUGAGGGUACCCUACUAGAGAGCCACUGCUAACUACGUGCCAGCAGCCGCGGUAAUACGUAGGUGGCGAGCGUUAUCCGGAAUUAUUGGGCGUAAAGAGUUGCGUAGGCGGUACGGUAAGUUUUUAGUGAAAUCCUUCGGCUUAACCGGGGAAACGCUAAGAAUACUGCCAUACUAGAAGCAGGGAGGGGAAAGCGGAACUCUCGGUGUAGGGGUGAAAUCCGUUGAUAUCGAGAGGAACACCAAAGGCGUACGCAGCUUUCUAGCUCUGUCUUGACGCUCACGCACGAAAGCGUGGGGAGCGAAACGGAUUAGAUACCCGUGUAGUCCACGCCGUAAACGAUGGAUACUGGAUAUUUGCCCGCCGAUUCGGCGGGUGAGUGUCGAAGCUAACGCGUUAAGUAUCCCGCCUGGGGGAGUACGGCCGCAAGGUUGAAACUCAAGGGAAUUGACGGG